rnacentral:lncRNA from 1 species
UAGAGGAGGCCUGUUCGUGGCUAUUGUGCUCAUCCCAACUGAAGGGAGAUGAAGAGAAACUCUAGUUGAUCAUAAGCGUCAAGAGUGUUUAUGACCCGCCUAUAGUGCAACCAAGUUCUAAUUGUGGGUUUUAAUGAUAAUGACCAUGUAAUUGGGAAACUAAUAAGAUUUAUCAAGAUGACACCAUUGGCGGACGCACGGGGGCUGGGGUGGCUAGAAAAAAUUUAAUAACUUUUCUUUUUAGUUAAAGCCCAGCCUAAAACAUCUUUGCUUGGCACC